GAUUAUGGCUCAGGAUGAACGCUAGCUACAGGCUUAACACAUGCAAGUCGAGGGGCAGCAUUGGGAUAGCUUGCUAUUCAGAUGGCGACCGGCGCACGGGUGAGUAACGCGUAUCCAACCUUCCUGCCAGUAGGGAACAGCCCGGCGAAAGUCGGAUUAAUGCCCUAUGUUCUUCAAUGCGGACAUCUAAGUUGAAGGAAAGAUUCAUCGCUGGCAGAUGGGGAUGCGUCCGAUUAGCUUGCCGGCGGGGUAACGGCCCACCGGGGCGACGAUCGGUAGGGGUUCUGAGAGGAAGGUCCCCCACACUGGUACUGAGACACGGACCAGACUCCUACGGGAGGCAGCAGUGAGGAAUAUUGGUCAAUGGGCGUAAGCCUGAACCAGCCAAGUAGCGUGCAAGGACGACGGCCCUACGGGUUGUAAACUGCUUUUAUGCGGGGAUAAAGUGCGGCACGUGUGCCGCUUUGCAGGUACCGCGUGAAUAAGGACCGGCCAAUUCCGUGCCAGCAGCAGC
rnacentral:rRNA from 1 species